ACGUACUUCAUGUGAAGUUGUCUAGAAAGCUUGUUAGUCUGCUAAAAAUUAAAAUCACAUAUUAAAAGGAUAUGUUCAAUUUUGUUUUUUGAGAACAGUAAAUUAUUAGGCGGUUAUAACUGAAUAUUACUUACGAUUAUGUCCCAAAAUCAGCAAAAAGAGGCUUAUUCAUCUUCAUCAGGCAUUAAUAAUGGACGUAAAAGUAAAAAUAACGUUGGCCCUCGUCAAACGCGCCGAAGACUUAAAAUGGCAUUUGAUGAAUUUAUGAAGGAAACAGAAUUGAAAGAAUCUUGGUGUGUAAUGUAAGUAUGCUGUAAUCGUAUCAUUCAAGUUAUGAGCUAUGUUAGACGAACUAUUGGUAUCAAAAUUGUCUGCUCAUCUCGAAUCUGUUCCCCUAACUUCUGUAAUGUGUAAAGCAUUUUGCAUUCCAAUUACGAUACCUAAAAACGGAUCAUUCUUUACAUGCCCACUUGUAAAUCACUGUCUUUUUCAAUAAAAACCGAUUGGUCUGACAA